AACGAACGCUGGCGGCAUGCCUAACACAUGCAAGUCGAACGAGACCUUCGGGUCUAGUGGCGCACGGGUGCGUAACGCGUGGGAACCUGCCUUUAGGUUCGGAAUAACUCAGUGAAAUUUGAGCUAAUACCGGAUGAUGUCUUCGGACCAAAGAUUUAUCGCCUUUAGAUGGGCCCGCGUUGGAUUAGCUAGUUGGUGGGGUAAAGGCCUACCAAGGCGACGAUCCAUAGCUGGUCUGAGAGGAUGAUCAGCCACACUGGGACUGAGACACGGCCCAGACUCCUACGGGAGGCAGCAGUGGGGAAUAUUGGACAAUGGGCGAAAGCCUGAUCCAGCAAUGCCGCGUGAGUGAUGAAGGCCUUAGGGUUGUAAAGCUCUUUUACCCGAGAUGAUAAUGACAGUAUCGGGAGAAUAAGCACCGGCUAACUCCGUG
rnacentral:rRNA from 1 species